AACGAACGCUGGCGGCAUGCCUAACACAUGCAAGUCGAACGAGAGGACCCCGCAAGGGGUUAGUAAAGUGGCGCACGGGUGAGUAAGACGUGGAUAAUCUGCCUUUUAGUUUGGGAUAACCCUUCGAAAGAAGGGCUAAUACCGGAGAGACCACAGGAGCAUAAGCUCUAGGGGUUAAAGAUAGGGACCGCAAGGCCUAUCGCUAUUAGAUGAGUCCACGCACUAUCAGCUAGUUGGUGAGGUAAUGGCUCACCAAGGCUAUGACGGUUAGCUGGUCUGAGAGGAUGAUCAGCCACAUUGGAACUGAGACACGGUCCAGACUCCUACGGGAGGCAGCAGUGGGGAAUCUUGCACAAUGGGCGCAAGCCUGAUGCAGCAAUGCCGCGUGAGUGAUGAAGGCCUUCGGGUUGUAAAUCUCUGUCGGCUGGGACAAACGGUUUCACAUUUAAUAAAUGUGGAAAGUGAUGGUACCAGCAAAGGAAGAGGCGGCUAACUCUGUGC
rnacentral:rRNA from 1 species